GAUGAACGCUGGCGGCGUGCUUAACACAUGCAAGUCGAACGAUGAAGCCCAGCUUGCUGGGUGGAUUAGUGGCGAACGGGUGAGUAACACGUGAGUAACCUGCCCUUAACUCUGGGAUAAGCCUGGGAAACUGGGUCUAAUACCGGAUAGGAGCGUCCACCGCAUGGUGGGUGUUGGAAAGAUUUAUCGGUUUUGGAUGGACUCGCGGCCUAUCAGCUUGUUGGUGAGGUAAUGGCUCACCAAGGCGACGGGUAGCCGGCCUGAGAGGGUGACCGGCCACACUGGGACUGAGACACGGCCCAGACUCCUACGGGAGGCAGCAGUGGGGAAUAUUGCACAAUGGGCGAAAGCCUGAUGCAGCGACGCCGCGUGAGGGAUGACGGCCUUCGGGUUGUAAACCUCUUUCAGUAGGGAAGAAGCGAAAGUGACGGUACCUGCAGAAGAAGCACCGGCUAACUACGUG
rnacentral:rRNA from 1 species